AGCUAAAAAUUUGCUCUCACUAAGGUCUUCAGAUUGCCCCCUGUGGACACUGGUGACACUGCCAAAUGGCUUAGCUGAUGCCAGGAG